rnacentral:rRNA from 1 species
GACGAACGCUGGCGGCGUGCUUAACACAUGCAAGUCGAACUAAGUGGCGAACGGGUGAGUAACGCGUAAUCAACCUGCCCUUCAGAGGGGGACACCAGUUGGUAACGACUGCUAAUACCGCAUACUGGAGGAGGGGAGUGCGUCUGAUUAGCUAGUUGGAGGGGUACCGGCCCACCAAGGCCAUGAUCAGUAGCCGGGCCGGAAGGAUGAACGGCCACAUUGGGACUGAGAACCGGCCCAGACCCCUACUGGAGGCAGCAGUGGGGAAUCUUCCGCGAUGGACGAAAGUCUGACGGAGCAACGCCGCGUGAGUGAUGACGGCCUUCGGGUUGUAAAGCUCUGUUAAUCGGGACGCGGUACCGGAAUAGAAAGCCACGGCUAACUACGUGCCAGCAGCCGCGGUAAUUC